rnacentral:snRNA from 1 species
UUUGUUCUUUCUUUUUAAA